rnacentral:lncRNA from 1 species
AUCACGAAGGAUGCGUAAGAAAUAUGAAACGUGAUUUCGUAGCAGUAAAAUGGCGUGUUUGGAGUUUAUAAGGGUUUGCGAAGCGACGCACCUUUUCAAAUUAUAGAAGGAAACAAUGAUUGAAAUUCUUUGGGAAUCGUGAACGUUGCUGAAGACGUGAAGUGAAUAUGGCAAAAUUCAAUAAUUAUUAUUAAUUCUGCCAUAUUGGGGGGUAAUUGUUGACACAUAAAAAUUCAGCCCAAAUCGAACAGCCUAGAGAGUAAAGCCCAAUUGGAAGAUCUCCAAAUCAGAUAGCCCAAAGAACGAAAUCCAAUUGAACGAAUCAAGGUGAAUGCCCAAAUAAGGGGUCCAAUAGUGCGGUAACGACAUCGUCCAAGUUUGCAAGUCGCUCAGAGUCUGAACGAAUAGAGUGACAUACGGUCGUCCAGAGUCUCGCCCAAAUCUUCAAGUCGCCCAAGGUAUCAACAAACACAACGCAUUAUGAUGCAGUUAUUGAGGCAGUUGCUAAAGUAACUUUUAUCACGUUCCACGACUCAAGGGGUUCAAUCGAAAGCGGUUGAACGAUGCAAGAUAAUGGCAGCAGUUAAAAGGACAGUUUCAUGACAAAUGGCCACUACAAAGAAAGUGGGUAGUUAUAGGGCGAUCAAGCAGUUUUUUAGAGCAGUUAAUCACAAAGGGAUCGCCUAUGAAGUAUAAAAGGGAGAAAGAACUUAGAAGCAAAAGACCGAAUCCAAAACUCUCGAACAGAGAAUAUGUAAUUUUCAUUCCUUUAACUUUUAGACUUAAACAUUUCAUUUUCUGUAACUCGUGUGCUUGCGCCCCUUGGAGGCACGUUGUUUUCCAUUUCCAAUUGUAAAAUUCAUCGUCAAUAAAAAGAACACCCAUUUUUGGGAUUUUGUCUCAAGAGGUUUAGUCCCUUACACAAUCGUCUGAUUCUCUUUAAUUGUUAGCGAAUUAACACGCGCGAAACAACUGUACACAUGGAAUAUAAUUUUAAAAUGUUAAAAGAAAGUUAUUGGCACAGGAAAACUUUUAUAUGGCAAUCGGAAACUAUUUAGACAAAUUGAAGGUGACAAAUGUAAUGGUUACAAACGUGAUGAUUGACACAAAUUAAGGCACACAAAUUGUACAUAUGCAAUACACAAACUAAUAAAAACAAAUACAUUGUAGUGGUGAUGGCAGAUACAAGAAACAGAUUACACAUAUG